CGAGCACUGUGAAGUGAGGAGGGCGAGGCCCCGGUUUGUUUAACUGACCCGCGUAGCCUCUGUUUUGUCUUUGGUGGACAACGACCUUUGCUGGGAAGCUAGUCUACACACCACUCCACUCAAGCACCUCUAUGAAGGGAACAUGUGAAGAGGAGCAAAAGCCUCCAUCGACAACCACACCAACUUACCAGCCAUGACAUUAUUCCUACAGAGGAAAAUUGGACUAAGAAGAGAUGAGGAAACUGAGAACCAUAAAGUCACUCCAGCCUUCUGACUUCAGACCGUAGUUUAAUGAACUGUGCAGAGGGACUAGUAGCAGCAAUGGAGGAAGAUGAUCUGAAAAGCAAAAAGCAGCUCACUAGACUUUAAUCACCAAAAAUGAUUACUUCAAAUGAAGGAUUCAUACUAUCCCUUCUUCUAUACAUUAUGCAUAAUGUCUAUGAAUCAUAACAUCAGUUAAAUUUCCACUUUUAUAAAGUAUUUUC